rnacentral:rRNA from 1 species
CAGUGUGAUUCGUCACACUAUCAUUAACUGAAUCCAUAGGUUAAUGAGGCGAACCGGGGGAACUGAAACAUCUAAGUACCCCGAGGAAAAGAAAUCAACCGAGAUUCCCCCAGUAGCGGCGAGCGAACGGGGAGGAGCCCAGAGCCUGAAUCAGCAUGUGUGUUAGUGGAAGCGUCUGGAAAGGCGCGCGAUACAGGGUGACAGCCCCGUACACAAAAGCGCAUGUGCUGUGAGCUCGAUGAGUAGGGCGGGACACGUGGUAUCCUGUCUGAAUAUGGGGGGACCAUCCUCCAAGGCUAAAUACUCCUGACUGACCGAUAGUGAACCAGUACCGUGAGGGAAAGGCGAAAAGAACCCCGGCGAGGGGAGUGAAAAAGAACCUGAAACCGUGUACGUACAAGCAGUGGGAGCACAGGUUUACCUGUGUGACUGCGUACCUUUUGUAUAAUGGGUCAGCGACUUAU